AGUCAUACGAAGCUUUCAUUACCUAUAGAUGAUCUUGAUAGACUUGGUUGGAACCUUAUGCAGGACCUUGAAACUAUGAAUUGAACUUUAAUAUGUGGCAUGAGAAGAGUACUCUUCUGAAUGCUGCCGUCAUGACCAAUUUGCAUUUGAGAUCCAAUUUGGAGCUUAACUUGAAUGUUAAUGUCUUUGUUGAGGUACCUUUAUCUUGCUGACAAGGUAGACAUUGAAGAUCUUACGGCAGAACAAAGAUACUUAUAUGCUAGUAAUGAGCAGUUUUUUUAAGGUAAUUUUGCAUAUGUUUAAGUUGUGUAUAGACUCUUAUAGAUUACUUCAAGCUAACAACUAUCUAUCUUUAUUGUAUAUAACUUCUCUGUUAUAUUUUUACUUACCAGACUUAAUUGCACUUGUUUAUUUUUUACUAGGAUAAGCAUAGAUAUUGAAGUCCACUUUGCAACUAAACUUGAAUGUUGUUGUCUCCCUUGCUGAGGUCUAAGAGUUGAAGGGUCAAUUCAGUGUUGAUCAUUCUCUAGCACUUAUUCUUUUUUAGUAGAAAGAUUUCUUUUAGCUAGAAAGAGAUGUACAUUAGUUUUUUAUUUUUUUAUUUUUUAUCACUACAUGUAUAGAGUUCUUUUCUUAAUACUUUGGAAUUUCUGAUGCAAUUUAUGGUGAAGAUGCAUUAACAUUCUCAUUUUUAUGAUACCGGCUUAUUAGUUUGUUGA